rnacentral:rRNA from 1 species
UACGUAGGAGGCGAGCGUUGUCCGGAGUUACUGGGCGUAAAGGGUGCGCAGGCGGCGGUUCGCGUGGCGAGAUGAAAUCUCCUGGCUUACCUGGGAGGAUGGUCGCCAGACGGGAUCGCUUGAGGGUCGGAGAGGGGCGUGGAAUUCCGGGUGGAGCGGUGAAAUGCGUAGAGAUCCGGAGGAACACCGACGGCGUAGGCAGCGCCCUGGGCGACACCUGACGCUGAGGCACGAAAGCUGGGGGAGCGAACAGG